AGUGAACGCUGGCGGUAGGCCUAACACAUGCAAGUCGAACGGCAGCACAGUAAGAGCUUGCUCUUACGGGUGGCGAGUGGCGGACGGGUGAGGAAUACAUCGGAAUCUACUUUUUCGUGGGGGAUAACGUAGGGAAACUUACGCUAAUACCGCAUACGACCUACGGGUGAAAGCAGGGGAUCUUCGGACCUUGCGCGAUUGAAUGAGCCGAUGCCGGAUUAGCUAGUUGGCGGGGUAAAGGCCCACCAAGGCGACGAUCCGUAGCUGGUCUGAGAGGAUGAUCAGCCACACUGGAACUGAGACACGGUCCAGACUCCUACGGGAGGCAGCAGUGGGGAAUAUUGGACAAUGGGCGCAAGCCUGAUCCAGCCAUACCGCGUGGGUGAAGAAGGCCUUCGGGUUGUAAAGCCCUUUUGUUGGGAAAGAAAAGCAGCAGGUUAAUACCCCGCUGUUCUGACGGUACCCAAAAAAUAAGCACCGGCUAACUUCGUG
rnacentral:rRNA from 1 species